rnacentral:rRNA from 1 species
CCUACGGGCGGCAGCAGUGGGGAAUAUUGCACAAUGGGGGAAACCCUGAUGCAGCGACGCCGCGUGAGUGAAGAAGUAAUUCGUUAUGUAAAGCUCUAUCAGCAGGGAAGAAAAUGACGGUACCUGAGUAAGAAGCCGCGGCUAACUACGUGCCAGCAGCCGCGGUAAUUCGUAGGGGGCAAGCGUUAUCCGGAUUUACUGGGUGUAAAGGGAGCGUAGACGGCAGUGCAAGUCUGGAGUGAAAGGCGGGGGGUCAACCCCCGGACUGCGCUGGAAACUGUACGGCUGGAGUGCAGGAGAGGUAAGUGGAAUUCCUAGUGUAGCGGUGAAAUGCGUAGAUAUUAGGAGGAACACCAGUGGCGAAGGCGGCAUACUGGACUGUAACUGACGUUGAGGCUCGAAAGCGUGGGGAGCAAACAGGAUUAGAUACCCUGGUAGUC